GACGAACGCUGGCGGCGUGCCUAACACAUGCAAGUCGAGCGGGGGGAGUUCUUCGGAACGAACCUAGCGGCGGACGGGUGAGUAACACGUGGGCAACCUGCCUUGAGGAGGGGGAUAACAGGAUGAAAGUCCUGCUAAUACCGCAUAACCCGGUGCUGUCGCAUGAUGGCAUCGGCAAAGGAGCAAUCCGCCUCAAGAUGGGCCCGCGGCGCAUUAGCUAGUUGGUGGGGUAACGGCCUACCAAGGCGACGAUGCGUAGCCGACCUGAGAGGGUGAUCGGCCACAUUGGAACGGAGACACGGUCCAGACUCCUACGGGAGGCAGCAGUGGGGAAUAUUGCACAAUGGGCGAAAGCCUGAUGCAGCAACGCCGCGUGAGCGAUGAAGGCCUUCGGGUUGGAAAGCUCUGUCUUCGCGGACGAAAUCUGACGGUAAGCGAGGAGAAAGCCACGGCUAACUACGUG
rnacentral:rRNA from 1 species